CACUCAGUGAUCGCACUCAACACAGACGCUCACCAUGGAGACUGGGCUGCGCUGGCUUCUCCUGGUCGCUGUGCUCAAAGGUGUCCAGUGUCAGGAGCAGCUGGUGCAGUCCCGGGGAGGCCUGGUCCAGCCUGGGGGAUCCCUGAAACUCUCCUGCAAAGCCUCUGGGUUCGACCUCAGUAGCUAUGCAAUGUGCUGGGUCCGCCAGGCUCCAGGGAAGGGGCUGGAGUGGAAUGGAGAAAUUAAUUCUAAUGCUGGUAGCACAUGGUAUGCGAGCAGGGUAAAUGGCCGAUUCACCGUCUCCAGAAACAACGUCAAGAGCACGCUGGAUCUGCAAAUGAGCAGUCUGACAGCCGCGGACACGUCCCUCUAUUACUGUGCAAGAGACACAGUGAGGACCCUCAGGCUGAGCCCAGACACAAACCUCCGUGCAGGGGCGCGCGGCUCCACCAGGGGGCGCACAAGACGCACUGAGCAGACUCAGAUCAUUCCCAGAUGCAGUGGGAGGUGA